UACGAAGGGGGCUAGCGUUGCUCGGAAUCACUGGGCGUAAAGCGCACGUAGGCGGAUCGUUAAGUCAGGGGUGAAAUCCUGGAGCUCAACUCCAGAACUGCCUUUGAUACUGGCGACCUUGAGUUCGGGAGAGGUGAGUGGAACUGCGAGUGUAGAGGUGAAAAUUCGUAGAUAUUCGCAAGAACACCAGUGGCGAAGGCGGCUCACUGGCCCGAUACUGACGCUGAGGUGCGAAAGCGUGGGGAGCAAACAGGGAU
rnacentral:rRNA from 1 species